GCUACUGUAGCUCAGUUGGUAGAGCACCAGAUUCGUAACCUGAAGGUCGGGAGUUCGAUUCUCCCCAGUAGCUCCA
rnacentral:tRNA from 2 species